GGAAACACUGAUUUAGAAGAAAGAGAACAUCUGCUUGGCAUGCAGAAGGUCCCAGGUUCAAUCCCUGGCAUCUCCA